rnacentral:lncRNA from 1 species
AGCAGGAGGGGCAGUGGGAGGUGUGCCAGUAAGCUUUAAAUCGAAGGGAAUUUCCCAGGCUGGAGAGGCUACCGUCAGGUGAACCCAGAGCUAUCCUGACCAAUACGAAGCUGAGCUUGGGCUUCAGAGCACAGAAAAUCAAGGCGCUACGCUGAGCCAAGCACCUACUUCUGCAACCAAGGGAAAAAGAGGUCCACUAGAGGAUCUCCUGAAAUAGAUGCAGAUUUGUUCUCAAUUGCUGAAGUGUGUCUGACAGCUCAAGAGCUCCUCAGUGCAACUCGCCCGAAGCUAAUCCCCCAAGAGAAGAAUCCACAUGAGAAACAGCUCUUCCUCAUCUUUCCAAUGACUAUGAUUUGAAAGGAAAUAUGCUGGGGAUUCAAGGACCUAGGAAGAUGUUAUUAACUAAGGUGUGCCCAAACUGAAAAGGGGCCCAAGGCCUUAGAAGCAAAGGAAAUUGGACAGGGAAGAAAGAAAAAGAAGAAGAUGCCACCCUGUGCAUUGCCAUGUGACAGAAGAGUCAAAUACCAAGGGGCCAGCCCCACACCACAGUCUUCAGAGAGAAAGCAUCAUCUUACUGACACCACAGUUUUGGACUUCUCCUAGCCUGAAAACUGUAAGCUGAUAAAUUCCCCUUAUUUAAGCCAAUCCACUGUAUGGUAUUUGUUUUAAGAUGCAGGAAACGAAAACAGUGUGUGUGUGUGACAGAAAGAGAAGUCUAUCUUAACUAACUCUUGACAAUAUUUCUAGGCAAAAAUAAACCAAGUACAGCUUUUCCUUCAACCAGAAUUCUUGUCUGAAAAUACAGACUUUCUCCCUUUGCUAACAUCCUUGGACAUUUCCUUCUUUGAGGCAUUCCAUGGAGAAAUCUACAUUAACCUAAAUAUCAGUUGUAUACCAGGGGUUAGCUUGAACCCACUACAAAUCAGAGACCAAAG